rnacentral:lncRNA from 12 species
CUUUUAUGUCUUCCCACAGGAGCAGCUCAAGCAUUUUAUAGAUCAGGAGUGAAAAAAACAUUUAAAACUGUUUCUCUUUAUAGGCAGCAUAAGAUAUAGGUCACAGUUAACAGAGGGGCUUAAGCCUGUUUGAGUAGAAAGCGUGCAUUUUGAAUGAUGAAGCAGAAGAGAAAAAUAUAAUUCUCAAUGGAUUAUGUCAACAUCACUAGGCUUUAAGGGUUUCCUGCCUGAAGAGCUGUCAAUUGAUCAGAGCUGCCAAAACCACCUUUCCAGCAGCAGACAAAAAAACCAGCUGCCCUCAGAUCCCUGAGCAAAUCACCCACCUGAGGGAGCCUUAUUGGUCCGAGCACCGCAUUGAUCCGGGGCUUUUGGUCAUGGGGAGAAACAAAAAGUGACCCCACGGGAGGAAGCUCAUGGACAGCAGCUGCAGCCAGGCACCAGCUACUCCACGUUCACCCACUCCUGGCUAUCCUCUGACUGAAAAGGCAACUUCUACAGAGUCAGAGUAUGAAGAAAAUAUACUAAACACCACACCAAAAGAAGAAACGUCAUUGCAAUUGUUUAUUCACUCUUCUGGUAACAAACUGAAUUUGGGGAAGUAUGAGACACAGGGCAAACUGGGGUUGACCAAAGGUGAGUAACAAAAGUGUGGUAACCUUGUAGAAAAAUGUUUGUUUCCUUUCCAAGUGAGACACAAGAUCCCAAGGACUAUCUAAAACAUUAUUACAGAAUCACCCGACUUUAAAAGUACGACCUUUCUUAUAUCUUUUGCCUACCCUGUACCUCAUUCAAAAUAAUCCAGAGUUCUCUGCCUCUCAUCACAAGUACCUGCUUCUCAUCUUUGCACUGCAGGAACAUCACAGGCUAAAAAAACUUACUUUAGAAACAGGCUUUUAAAGAAUUCCUAAGUGCAAGAACUGCAUUUAAAGAAAAAGCAGAAAUGAGAGGAAUGUACUUGGCAGGGACACUGACCUAGCAGGAACUUCAGCUUGAACCCCAACUUGAAGCACAAAACAAUUCUUCUCUUUUGAGGGUACAAUCAAACCCUUGCACAGAAAGUCUCAACUAUUUGAUGCUCCAAAAAGUGAAAACUUCACAGGUUUAGUGGGAGCAGACUUUAAACUUUCAAGGACUUCAAAAUGACACUGUUCCUAGAGGAAAUCCAGGACAGACUCAGACAUGGGUAAGGACAGGAAAGCAGGUGAAAAAGGUGUUCUGUCACGGGCUGGAGAAAGAAAAGUGAAUGGAAACAUCGCCAGUUACAUCUGUUGGAGUUUUCAGCUCUUCAAAGUUUACUCCACAGCCAACCCCAAAGCCCCCUCCAAAACUGGGGGACCAGGCUGCCCAGGGGAACAGCCUCUGAAUUCCCAGUCUACAGUAAUUUGGUAAAACCAGAGCACCAAACUGGUAAGGGGAAGAAGGGCUCCCUGGGAGUGUUCCAGGCUGGGAUGGACAGGGCUUGAGGCAACCUGGGAUAGUGGAAGGUGUCCCUGCCAUGGCA